CAGCGGACAGUCCUCCUGUUGUGUCCGACCGAGAGUCCUGGUGACUUUGAACAUGCUGGUGCCGUUAGCCAAGCUGUCCUGCCUGGUCUAUACCAAAACUCACCUUUCCUGGUGGUUUACUAAUUGGUUGUAGUCCUGGUUUUAUGAAUGUUCCCAAGAUCAAAGGUACUCACACAGCAAUGAAAAGUGGAAUUUUAGCAGCAGAAUCUAUUUUUAAUCAACUAACUAGUGAAAAUCUCCAAUCAAAGACAAUAGGACUCCAUGUAACUGAAUAUGAGGACAAUUUGAAGAACUCAUGGGUAUGGAAAGAGCUAUAUUCUGUUAGAAAUAUAAGACCGUCCUGCCACGGAGUACUGGGUGUUUAUGGAGGGAUGAUUUACACUGGAAUCUUUUACUGGAUAUUGAGAGGAAUGGAGCCAUGGACUCUGAAACAUAAAGGUUCUGACUUUGAACGGCUCAAGCCAGCCAAGGAUUGCACACCUAUUGAGUAUCCAAAACCCGAUGGACAGAUCAGUUUUGACCUCUUGUCAUCUGUGGCUCUGAGUGGUACUAAUCAUGAACAUGACCAGCCGGCACACUUAACCUUAAGGGAUGACAGUAUACCUGUAAAUAGAAAUCUGUCAAUAUAUGAUGGGCCCGAGCAGCGAUUCUGUCCUGCAGGAGUUUAUGAAUUUGUACCUGUGGAACAAGGUGAUGGAUUUCGGUUACAGAUAAAUGCUCAGAACUGUGUACAUUGUAAAACAUGUGAUAUUAAAGAUCCAAGUCAGAAUAUUAACUGGGUGGUACCUGAAGGUGGAGGAGGACCUGCUUACAAUGGAAUGUAAACGGCAGCUAGCCAGUUUCUUUCAAGUAUGGCAAGAUAACG
rnacentral:sRNA from 1 species